AUACGUAGGUGGCGAGCGUUGUCCGGAAUUACUGGGCGUAAAGGGUGCGUAGGCGGAAACAUAAGUCAGAUGUGAAAUCCCCGGGCUUAACUUGGGGACUGCAUUUGAAACUGUGGUUCUAGAGUGCAGGAGAGGGAAGCGGAAUUCCUAGUGUAGCGGUGAAAUGCGUAGAUAUUAGGAAGAACACCAGUGGCGAAGGCGGCUUUCUGGACUGUAACUGACGCUGAUGCACGAAAGCGUGGGGAGCAAACAGGAUUAGAUACCCUGGUAGUCCACGCUGUAAACGAUGAGUGCUAGGUGUAGGGGGUGUCAUGCCUUCUGUGCCGGAGCAAACGCAAUAAGCACUCCGCCUGGGGAGUACGGUCGCAAGACUAA
rnacentral:rRNA from 1 species